GACUCUCGGCAACGGAUAUCUCGGCUCUCGCAUCGAUGAAGAACGUAGCGAAAUGCGAUACUUGGUGUGAAUUGCAGAAUCCCGUGAACCAUUGAGUCUUUGAACGCAAGUUGCGCCCUAGGCCCUACGGUCGAGGGCACGCCUGCCUGGGCGUCA
rnacentral:rRNA from 1 species